rnacentral:rRNA from 1 species
CCCUUCGGGGACCGGGACACAGGUGCUGCAUGGCUGUCGUCAGCUCGUGUCGUGAGAUGUUGGGUUAAGUCCCGCAACGAGCGCAACCCUCGCCCUUAGUUGCCAGCAUUUAGUUGGGCACUCUAAGGGGACUGCCGGUGAUAAGCCGAGAGGAAGGUGGGGAUGACGUCAAGUCCUCAUGGCCCUUACGGGCUGGGCUACACACGUGCUACAAUGGUGGUGACAGUGGGCAGCGAGCACGCGAGUGUGAGCUAAUCUCCAAAAGCCAUCUCAGUUCGGAUUGCACUCUGCAACUCGAGUGCAUGAAGUUGGAAUCGCUAGUAAUCGCGGAUCAGCAUGCCGCGGUG